rnacentral:rRNA from 1 species
AUUGAACGCUGGCGGCAUGCUUACACAUGCAAGUCGAACGGUAACAGGCCGCAAGGUGCUGACGAGUGGCGAACGGGUGAGUAAUGCAUCGGAACGUGCCCAGUCGUGGGGGAUAACGCAGCGAAAGCUGCGCUAAUACCGCAUACGAUCUAUGGAUGAAAGCGGGGGACCGUAAGGCCUCGCGCGAUUGGAGCGGCCGAUGUCAGAUUAGGUAGUUGGUGGGGUAAAGGCUCACCAAGCCAACGAUCUGUAGCUGGUCUGAGAGGACGACCGGCCACACUGGGACUGAGAACCGGCCCAGACUCCUACGGGAGGCAGCAGUGGGGAAUUUUGGACAAUGGGCGCAAGCCUGAUCCAGCAAUGCCGCGUGCAGGAAGAAGGCCUUCGGGUUGUAAACUGCUUUUGUACGGAACGAAACGGUCCUGGUUAAUACCUGGGGCUAAUGACGGUACCGUAAGAAUAAGCACCGGCUAACUACGUGCCAGCCGCCGCCGUAACAC